rnacentral:lncRNA from 1 species
CGAGCGGCGCCGGGGGGCGGCCCGGGGCGGCGGGGCCGUUUGCAGGGGGCGGCGGAGCCGGGGUGCGCCCCGCGGGACGGGAGCGGAGCGGCCCCGCGAGGUGCGCUGACAGUUGUGGCCGGGCAUCGCCUGCCGUGAGUCAGGGAGCAGCGAGCAGCGCUGCGUGGUUACUGAUUAAGCCUUUAAUUUUUAAGGAAGUCCGAGCUCGGGGAAGCCACUUCACGUUGCAAUAGCAGCGGAUUGCUAACCCGAGCGAACGCGGAUUAAGCUCGCUUUUAAAAGCUUCGAACUCGCCUGUUGUGGCUGAUUUGUUGUUCGCGUUUUCGUCUUUGCACCUCUUUCCGUCCAAGUGCUGCGCGCUCACGCGGUGCCUACGGGGUCGUCCGGGCAGCGCGACAUGGAGGUGUGCGGGGCGGGACAGCCCGGCGCGCUGCUGCUGUGCGGCCCGGCGCUGAGCUACGGCCGUGCGAGCGCUGACGGAACCUGGCGGACCGUCGGCCCGAACCAAUGGGAAAUGAUCCAGAUUUAGCGCUGGUAAUUGAGUUUAUUUCUGUAGCAGCACCACAGAAGGCUCUGUGUCAGUAACGGGUGAAGUUUGAUGCUGAAAAUGGAAAAAAAAAGACUGCACGAGGCAGCUGCUGCUCCUUGGUAGGACACGGGAACCGGGUCACACAUCUGAGAUCCACGGCGCUCUGCGUUUAAUAACUGAGAUCUGUUUGUGUUCUGAAGUAAAUAAUUCCUGAACUACAGCGAGUAAGGGACUGUUUUUUCCUCAGGAGAAAUACAAAGAGAUAAACCCAAAAGACUUUUUCCUUAAUUACCUGGUUAGAGAAGAUGAGAUCAAAAGAAAAUACUGUGGAUGAUAAGCUGAGGAGAGGUGGGGAACUCCUGCCGUAUACCUCCUGAUUUCUAUUUCCUAUUGCGUUCUGAGAUAAUGCUGGAAUGGGGAGUGACCAUAGCUAACACGGUGUGUACAUGCUAUGAUUUUAUAGGCUCCCAUCGAUGGGCCACGCUGCUCUCCCUUCCUGGUCAUGUGUGCUUUGGGAUCAGUGAGGGCUGGGUGCUUUCAGUGGGUGAUGCUGUAGGGUUUCAGCUGCACUAAAAGGACCGACUGCUGAAGCAGGGAGAUACCUAAACAAACCACUCCAAGAAGGGCUGAAGUUGCUGUUGCAGUUAUUCAGGUUUGCUUAGAAAAGAUCCCAGUUUGUUUGGAAGUGGGCAAAUACAAUCUUGUAUUAGUAACAAAGCUCGGCUCGGGCUGGCAUGGAGGACUGCUGAGCU